rnacentral:rRNA from 1 species
CUGCUAAAGAGGAGGAAGGAAUGGGCAACGGUAGGUCAGCAUGCCCCGAAUUAUCUGGGCUACACGCGGGCUACAAUGGGUGGGACAAUGGGUAUCGACACCGAAAGGUGAAGGCAAUCUCCUAAACCCAUCCGUAGUUCGGAUUGUGGGCUGCAACUCGCCCACAUGAAGCUGGAAUCUGUAGUAAUCGUGUCUCAAAAUGGCACGGUGAAUAUGUCCCUGCUCCUU